UGAAUGUAAACUUACAGGAAUAUUGACUGCCCCAACAUCAACACGAGGUCAUGGAGUUCUUAUGGGUUAGGCUACCAAAAAAGCAAAUGCAUUUGUUGAUAUGAGUAGUCAAAUCAAUUCAUUUAAAUUAUCCUUCAACCGUAUAGUCUCAUACCUAUACAGUCUUUAGAUCUCUCUCAUUUCGGUGUAUGUUCGAUUCUUUCAUGUGUCCCUUCCACUAAAAGCUGUCAGGAGCCUCUCUUUGUUUGUACUUCUCGCACUCCGUGUCUCUUGCACCAACACCCG
rnacentral:lncRNA from 1 species